rnacentral:lncRNA from 1 species
CCUGGGACAUAUUUGUACCCCAUCUCUAUUUAAUGCCUUUAUACAAUUCUUUACUUAAUUCUACCAGCCUUUAUUGAGCCUGCUUUCUUUGUCUAGCUGAGUGCCACAUGCUGACAUCACUAAGAUCAAUACGGCAAACUCUGAAAGAUGGACAGAGAGACAGGAGAUGGUCCUUUAUAAUGCAGUGUGAUCUGUGCUGCAAUAGAGAUGGAAGAGUGUUCUGAUCGGCUGGAAAACAACGCACAUGGGAAGCUGUACGGAAAUGAGUGGGGAAAGUUUUGGAGGCUAGAAGUUCAAAACGAGGUGUUGGCAGCACCAUGCUCUCUCUGAAGAUGCUAGGAAGAAUCUGUUCCGUGCCUUUCCAUUCGCUUCUGGGGUUUCCUGCAAGCCCUGACAUUCCUCGGCUUGUAGAUGCAUCACCCCAGUUUCUGCCCCCAUCAUCACAUGGCCCCCUCUCUGGGUGUACGUCUGCGUUCCCUCUCCUCUCCUUCUAAGGACACCGACACCAAUCAUAGUAGAUUAAGGGUCCACUCCUAACCAAUUACAUCUGCAACAACGCUAUUUCCAAAUAAAGUCACAUUCUAAGA